CAAUAGCGUAUAUUUAAGUUGUUGCAGUUAAAAAGCUCGUAGUUGGAUUUUGGGUCGGGGGCACCGGUCCGCCGUUCCGGUGUGCACUGGUGGCCCCUUCCUUUCUGCCGGGGACGUGCGUCACACUUAAUUGGGUGGCGUUCGGAGUCGGCGUUGUUACUUUGAAAAAAUUAGAGUGUUCAAAGCAAGCCAUCGCUCUGAAUACAUUAGCAUGGAAUAACAUGAUAGGACUCUGGUCUUAUUUUGUUGGUUUCCGAGACUGGAGUAAUGAUUAAGAGGGACAGUCGGGGGCAUCCGUAUUUCAUUGUCAGAGGUGAAAUUCUUGGAUUUAUGAAAGACGAACUUCUGCGAAAGCAUUUGCCAAGGAUGUUUUCAUUAA
rnacentral:rRNA from 1 species